rnacentral:lncRNA from 1 species
UGCUGCUUUGCUGAUUGAGGACUGAAUCUUUCUGCUGCAUGAAAGAUUGUUGCAUGUAUUAUUCUCUGUGGCUUCCUGUAGUCUGAGAGAAAGGAAAGAGUUCAGAGGCAGCAAAAAUUGUGCUUCCUAACCACCCUUCUCUUUACCCUCAAGCAUUUGAUGUGCAAUAGAUCCUUAAUAAAUGAUGGAUGGUCAAUGGCUUCUCACAAUGGGACUGGAAUCCAGAAUCUGGUCUGUUUUAAGCUCCUCUCAUCACUAUCUGAAAUCCUCAGGCAAUUGAAGACUUCAUUAUUCUUCCUCAUCAAUCACUCAGGGCCAGCUUUCACAUACAAGAAGUACUGGGCCUUCAUUAGACACAUACAAAGUAGAACAGAAAAAAAGAACAUUUUACAUAAAGCCAUGAAUUUUAUAAAUUUAGUUUCUUUUCCUUCUUGGUAUUGUGAAGAAGAGAUUACAACAUCAGUGAGGUUGGCAAGCAGAUGCAAGAAAUGGAAGCUUGAAGGACUGUCAAUCAAGGAGAGAAGGAAGGAAGAUUCCAAAGAAGAAUCUGGUCAGGGAGACAGUUAAGAAAGUCAGCAUCAGAAACUGGUCACUUUUCUCUUGAACUGUGGAGAAGGAACUAACAGGCUACUGCUCUGGAUUCCUGGCUAGUGGCUUAACAUUGAAAAAAUUGGAGCAUAGCUCUGAAGAUCCUUGUCAAUUUAUCAACAAUAUCCCUUCAGAGACAAAUCAGUGUUACUUCCUUGUAUUGAAUUUCAUAGUAGAUUAGGGAAACCAGAAAUACCCUCUUUCCUGUCCCAACUCUCUAACUUUCUUUCUUUAAAAUAAAUCCCUCUUAGAAAGUACUAUAGUGUGAAAU